GCGGUGAUGACAUCUACAAAGCACGUGUUAGACUGCUGACAAGGGUGAUGCGAACUAAGACUCUGAGC